rnacentral:rRNA from 1 species
GCUUGUCUCAAAGAUUAAGCCAUGCAUGUCUAAGUGUAAAUACGUCUACACUGUGAAACUGCGAAUGGCUCAUUAAAUCAGUUAUCGUUUAUUUGAUGAUCUCUUGUUACAUGGAUAACCGUAGUAAUUCUAGAGCUAAUACAUGCGUCAAGCCCCGACUCACGAAGGGGUGUAUUUAUUAGAUUCAAAACCAACCGUGUAAAAGCGUACCUUGGUGAUUCAUAAUAACUUGUCGAACCGCACGCCCUUGAGGCAGCGGUGAUUCAUUCAAAUUUCUGCCCUAUCAAUUGGCGAUGGUAGGAUAGAGGCCUACCAUGGUGUUAACGGGUGACGGGGGAUUAGGGUUCGAUUCCGGAGAGGCAGCCUGAGAAACGGCUACCACAUCCAAGGAAGGCAGCAGG